rnacentral:rRNA from 1 species
UACGAAGGGGGCUAGCGUUGCUCGGAAUCACUGGGUGUAAAGGGUGCGUAGGCGGGUCUUUAAGUCAGGGGUGAAAUCCUGGAGCUCAACUCCAGAACUGCCUUUGAUACUGAAGAUCUUGAGUCCGGGAGAGGUGAGUGGAACUGCGAGUGUAGAGGUGAAAUUCGUAGAUAUUGGGAAGAACACCAGUGGCGAAGGCGGCUCACUGGCCCGUAACUGACGCUGAGGUGCGAAAGCGUGGGGAGCAAACAGG